GGAUGAGAUCAUACCAGCACUACCGCACCGGAUCCCAUCAGAACUCCGAUGUUAAGCGUGCUUGGGCGAGAGUAGUACUAGGAUGGGUGACCCCCUGGGAAGUCCUCGUGUUGCAUCCC
rnacentral:rRNA from 1 species